rfam:Musa acuminata subsp. malaccensis Doubled-haploid Pahang (DH-Pahang) genomic chromosome, chr9
GGUUGUGAUGAUACGUGCUUCUUCUGACACCUCUUGUUUGAGAGGGGCUACUUUCAUUGUAGCUCCUCUUUGAGCAGAGUAGCAAAUUUCUGAUUC